UUUAUUGAAUCUUUAUUUUUUGAUUUUAUAUUAUAUCUGUUGGUUUUCCAACUAUGACGAUAAACGAGUUUCGUAAUAAACAUUGCGGACGUGGGGGCAGUACCCACCACCUCCACCAUUUACAACUUAUGGGGGUGAAUCAGAAUCGACGAGUGUCUAAAGGCUAUUCUUUCGUUCGAGAUGGUUCCGACGUAACGGGCUAAUUAUAAAUGCAAAUGAUAAAUUUGCACUUGCUGCUUAAUUAACUUUGUUAAUUAGGUAAACGGGGCUUGGGGCACCUGGCAACAGAACGCCCCUUUA
rnacentral:tmRNA from 1 species